rnacentral:rRNA from 1 species
GAUGAACGCUGGCGGCGUGCCUAAUACAUGCAAGUCGAACGCAUUGUGGUUGAAAUGAUAUGAAGAACUUGUUCAGAUUUGAUUUUCAACAUUGCAAUGAGUGGCGAACGGGUGAGUAACACGUGGGAAACCUACCUCUUAGCAGGGGAUAACAUUUGGAAACAAAUGCUAAUACCGUAUAAUAAUUAAAACCGCAUGGUUUUAGUUUAAAAGAUGGUCUUGCUAUCACUAAGAGAUGGUCCCGCGGUGUAUUAGUUAGUUGGUGAGGUAAUGGCUCACCAAGACAAUGAUACAUAGCCGAGUUGAGAGACUGACCGGCCACAAUGGGACUGAGACACGGCCCAUACUCCUACGGGAGGCAGCAGUAGGGAAUCUUCCACAAUGGACGAAGGUCUGAUGGAGCAACGCCGCGUGUGUGAUGAAGGGUUUCGGCUCGUAAAACACUGUUGUAAGAGAGAAUGACAUUGAGAGUAACUGUUCAA